AGAGUUUGAUCAUGGCUCAGAGUGAACGCUGGCGGCGUGCUUAACACAUGCAAGUCGAACGAGAACGGGUCAUAGCUUGCUAUGACUGUCAGCUAAGUGGCGGACAGGUGAGUAAUGUAUAGUUAAUCUGCCCCCUAGAGAGGGAUAACUACUGGAAACGGUAGCUAAUACCUCAUACUCCUUCUACCUUAAUGGUAGUUGGGAAAUGUCUUUUCGCUAGGGGAUGAGACUAUAUGGUAUCAGGUAGUUGGUGGGGUAAGAGCCCACCAAGCCUAUGACACCUAGCUGGUCUGAGAGGAUGAUCAGCCACACUGGAACUGAGACACGGUCCAGACUCCUACGGGAGGCAGCAGUGGGGAAUAUUGCACAAUGGACGAAAGUCUGAUGCAGCAACGCCGCGUGGAGGAUGACGCAUUUCGGUGUGUAAACUCCUUUUAUAUGGGAAGAUAAUGACGGUACCAUAUGAAUAAGCACCGGCUAACUCCGUGCCAGCAGCCGCGGUAAUAUGGAGGGUGCAAGCGUUACUCGGAAUCACUGGGCGUAAAGCGCAUGCAGGCGGUCUAAUAAGUUGGAAGUGAAAUCCUAUGGCUCAACCAUAGAACUGCUUCCAAAACUGUUAGACUAGAGUCUGGGAGGGGAAGAUGGAAUUAGUUGUGUAGGGGCAAAAUCCGUAGAGAUA
rnacentral:rRNA from 1 species